rnacentral:piRNA from 1 species
AACAGCAACUGUCAAAGUGGUGGUGAUCC